rnacentral:rRNA from 1 species
GAUGAACGCUGGCGGCGUGCCUAAUACAUGCAAGUCGAGCGAACGGACGAGAAGCUUGCUUCUCUGAUGUUAGCGGCGGACGGGUGAGUAACACGUGGAUAACCUACCUAUAAGACUGGGAUAACUUCGGGAAACCGGAGCUAAUACCGGAUAAUAUUUUGAACCGCAUGGUUCAAAAGUGAAAGACGGUCUUGCUGUCACUUAUAGAUGGAUCCGCGCUGCAUUAGCUAGUUGGUAAGGUAACGGCUUACCAAGGCAACGAUGCAUAGCCGACCUGAGAGGGUGAUCGGCCACACUGGAACUGAGACACGGUCCAGACUCCUACGGGAGGCAGCAGUAGGGAAUCUUCCGCAAUGGGCGAAAGCCUGACGGAGCAACGCCGCGUGAGUGAUGAAGGUCUUCGGAUCGUAAAACUCUGUUAUUAGGGAAGAACAUAUGUGUAAGUAACUGUGCACAUCUUGACGGGACCUAAUCAGAAAGCCACGGCUAACUACGUG